AUUGAACGCUGGCGGCAGGCCUAACACAUGCAAGUCGAGCGGGAGGCGGACGGGUGAGCAAUGUAUGGGGAUCUGCCUGAUAGAGGGGGAUAACUACUGUAAACCGUGGCUAAUACCGCAUACUAUCGGAUGAACCCAUAUGGGAUUAGCUAGUAGGGGGGGUAAAGGCUCACCUAGGCGACGAUCCCUAGCUGGUCUGAGAGGAUGAUCAGCCACACUGGGACUGAGACACGGCCCAGACUCCUACGGGAGGCAGCAGUGGGGAAUAUUGGACAAUGGGCGCAAGCCUGAUGCAGCCAUGCCGCGUGUAUGAAGAAGGCCUUCGGGUUGUAAAGUACUUUCGUGCGGGAGGCGUUACCUACAGAAGAAGCACCGGCUAACUCCGUGCCAGCAGCCGCGGUAAUUC
rnacentral:rRNA from 1 species